AUGAAUGCCUUGAAAACGAUAGGUGAUUUAAGAGCUGAGAAAUAUAAGGAAGUGGAAAACCGUAUUAAGCAACAUAUGGUUAUGAUGAAAGAAAGAAGGAAGAAGUUAACAGGGGUACCCCAGGAAGAGAUGGAGAGAGCAAAGCAAAACUUUGAAACUGUUGAAAAGAUAGAAGCGGAGAUAGCCGGCAUUAAGAGGGACCUUAACAAGGAGUAUCGUUUCACUGCCUUUACAGGGGAGCUGCCACCUCCAUCAGAAAGUACCCAAUCAGCUUCCAAACCUCAAAAUAUAUUUUCUAACAUGACAUUUUAA
rnacentral:lncRNA from 1 species